GAGAUCCUGAGCUGCUUCCUCGCAUUGGAGAUCAAUACCAGGUUGAGAUUCCACCUCUCAUGACAAAAUCUGCCUACUUCUUGCUCACAGAGAUGGCAAAUGAUCCAGUAAUCAUGCCUGGUAGUUCCCAUGAUUUUUUAGUGGGAUUACCCAUAUCACUAAUGUGGAUCAAGGAGGAAGUCAAGAACAUUAAACAUGAACACCGAGAAUUUCUUGGUGAUUUGAAUGGCUCAUCUAAUAGAAAUAAAU
rnacentral:misc_RNA from 1 species